rnacentral:lncRNA from 1 species
UGACAUUCCAGGAAUCCCUUAAGCUGUUUGAAGGAUGAGUGUUUUCUGAGGAUUUCAUUUGCUCUUUCUUUUCAAGUUUCCCAAAGUGAAUAUGCAUCUGCUACUGUGGUCUUCCAGGAUGGUUUUCCUAGGUCACACACUUGCCAUGAGGUGAACAGCAUUGCUACAUGGUACCAUCCUGAGGCAAACAGCAUUGUUACUCCAUAUCAUCCUGUGUCCAUGCUGCUUUACUUCACCACAGCAAUGGAAUACAACAGCCAUGCACUACACCAUAUUUUGACACAACAACAAUGAGUGGCUUACACAAGGGCCAUGCCCCUGGAGUCAGAGGAAUUGAGCCAAGUCUAGUCCUGAUGAGAAGAAUGAGCCAAGAGAAAUAAACCUGACUGACCAACAGCUCCCACCGUGGAGUAGAAUUUGUGACAAGGGUGAUCUCUC